rnacentral:misc_RNA from 1 species
CUUCAUAUAGAAAGCUUUGGCAAACGAUAAUUAUUAACUCCAGGAUUUAAACUAAACAGAAAACAAAAUUAUUACUAUGAAAUAACUUACUACACUAUGUGUUCAACAAUCAGUGUCCCAGAUAUACAUAUAGGUGAUAUAUGUAUUGUUUUUUUCUGUAAAGUUAUGCUGCUGAACUGUGUAUUUGGUUUUGAAUGAUUCUAAUAACUAAUAUAUCAUAUUCCAAUAUUGUACAUGUACUACGCAAAUGACAGUUGAACAAUAUAUUAAAAUUUUUAUACAUGAUUUACAUGAGGGUUGUGAAGUUUAAGAUUGUAUCUUGAAACCAUUUAGCAUUACUUGUUUCAUUUUCACCUUGCAUUGUAAAAUACAGCUUGUGCUUCACUGUUGUAAGUUGCAGGUAUUUUGUUACAUUUUCUUUUUAUUAUCAUGAAUUGAUGUAAACAUACAUGUAUUUAGAUUUUCUUAUUUUUUAGUAAAAUAUUAAAAAAGG